UUUUUUUUUUUUUUUUUAUUAUUAUAUGUAAGUACAUUGUAGCUGUCUUCAGACACACCAGAAGAGGGAGUCAGAUCUUGUUACGGAUGGUUGUGAGCCACCAUGUGGUUGCUGGGAUUUGAACUCUGGACCUUCGGAAGAGCAGUAAGAGCAGUCGGGUGCUCUUACCCACUGAGCCAUCUCACCAGCCCAAGAAAAUAUCUCUCCCAAACGCAGGCACGGACGGUUUUAUUUUUUAAGACAGGGUCUUGCUAUGUAUCUCAUACUGACCUGGAACUUAGAGCAGUCCUGCCUCAAUUUCCCAAGUGUUGCAAGUAUGAGCCACUUUACCUAGCUCUAAGAGAAAAACUUCCUCAAUAGGCUAAAAUGGGAGAAACACAUCUUUAAGCUUUAGGAUGGGAUUUGUAUAAUCUUUUCUGAACUGGUGUUCUUUUAGUUGGAGUUUAAUAAUCACCUUAAAAACCAGAGAGUCAUUCUAUGACCUCCCCCCCACCCCCCAAUCAAAAACAGCCUAGCCAGGAAGCCAUCGAAGAGAACUCUUAAAAAUUGUGGUAAGGAUGUUGAAGUGUAGUCUCCACAGUUGAUGGCUUCUGGCAGGGGGUUGGGUUGGGAAAAACUCAGUUUUCUUUAAGGAGCUGGCCACUGGGAGUUUGACUAUGCUUCAGUGAGUAUAUGGGCAACACAAAUUGGACUUGUGUUUUGUUUUUUGCUUUCCUUUCUUUGUACCUGUCAUUUCCUACUUUGUGGGUUCUUUCAUUCUUCCAUCCCCUUUUCCACCCUUUCAACCCCCUAAUCCUAGAUAAGAGAGAAGCAAAGGAUAGAAAGGAAGGGGAUGGUGUUAUUGUUAGACUACUUCCUGCUGAUUAGGACUGUGAGUUUCCUUGGCAAGUUUGUUCUUCACUGUCAGGAUAUCUUCUUGUUUCUUCUUUGCUCACAAAGACCCAACAGCAACCAACUAACAACCAAUAACUCACCAACAACCCACCUUGCCUCUUAGAGCCGUAGCAUUUAUAUACCCUCUGAAAAGUCUCUAGAAUUUCAAAUAUCACACAGUUGGAGAAACUAUUUGCUGCUGGUAAAACCAUUGUCCUGCUAGAGCAUGAGGCAAAUCAUGUCAGCUGCUGUGAGCAAUCUGAAAGAGUCCUAUAGCUCACUUCAGAGAGUAAACAAAAGCAUAUACUUAAGUUUUUAAGGACCUGGGAGGACUGGGAAGUGAGUGUGAUCAGGGUGCAUUAUGUGAAAUUCUCAAAUAAUCAAUAAAAAUAUUAGUGUUGAGG
rnacentral:lncRNA from 1 species